rnacentral:tRNA from 1 species
GGCGCCAUGGCUUAGUUGGUAAAGUGCCUGUCUAGUAAACAGGAGACCCUGGGUUCAACUCCCAGUGGUGUCU